CGUUAUCCCAGACUUAGAGCAGUGUUUGCCUUUAUACAAACUGUCAGAGGCAGCUGUAGCAAGUUUGGUGUUUACUAGAGGGGAGGAGAAAAAAAGAAAAAGAAAAGAAAAGCCUGCUGGCCCAGCCUCCAAAACCAGUUCAGCGGCGAAACGGUUAAUAAGAGGAGUAAAGGCUAUUUUUAAGUCUGGCUCCCCUCUCUGAGGCACUCCUGAAAACUCACCCCUGUACUGCAGAAAUCCUAAAUUGCAGCGCCCUGCACCCCACUGGAAGUCUUCAGUCUGCUCUAACAAGAAAGGAUCAUGAAUAGACCUGAAGCCUAAGAGAUGUCCUAGAACCAUGCCAAGGCUGAGGGGUCCUACACCCAGCAGUGCAAGGAAGAUUCAUAGAAAAGCAGUGAGAAACUGAGUCAUCAGCCAGCACCCAGUGGCCUGGGCAUGGGGACCCAUGAGAACCUGCUAUGAAACUUUGUGUCAGCAAAAUGUCCUAAGAUUUCAUAUCAAAUUAGCAUUCAUUAGAAUUCUAUUUGUGUGUGUUUUUUUUUAUUUGGUUUCCAUUUAAAUGUAUUCUUAUUUUAUUGUUUCUUUAGUUCUAUGUAUGUAAGGAGUUAAUGCGUAUAUAAAUAAAAAUACAAUCUUUAAAAGCAUUAUAAUAAAAAUAGUCUGAGUCAA